CUGUUAAAUCGAUUUAUUUGGUGACUUGAAGGGGAGAUAUCCAAGAUACCAUACUGAUUCAUAUUUGGAAACUUAAAAUACCUUAAUGAAAAUUUUUUUUUGUGACUAUCCCUUAAGAAAAAAAUCUCCACGACUGAUAAUUUACUGAAAAAUGGAUGGUUGGGCAAUCCUCUCUUUGUCCUUUGUGGUGAAGUUACGGAGACAAUGGACCACCUCCUUAUAGGAUGUGUAUAUACUAGGUUUAUGCUUUUUUGAAAUUUAUAGGAUGUGUUUACAGACAGUGAAGGACGUACUGACGAUAUGGGGUAAAAUGAUCAGAAAUAUUAGGUCGGGGAAGAUUCUGUAGGAUCUUAUUACCGUAGCAGCAUGUUGGUGGCUAGUCUGGAAGGAAAGAAAUAAUGCGAUUUUUAAAAACCAUUUUGAUGAUCCUCUCUUCGCAGUCGGCGUAUCAAGAAAUUGGUAAGAGAGUGGAGGGACUUUUGUUGAGCUCACUGUUUGUAGCCAAGUUUUUUUUCGAAAUGAAUGAAACGAAUAGCGUGCUACCUUGAAAGAAAAAGAUUACUAAUCAUGGGCUCCACAAUAAAAACCAAUUUUCUGUUAAAUUAACCAAUACGUGCCAGGGCCCUCUUGUUUGUUUGCCAAGACACGACAAAAUGACGCGACAAGAUAAUAUUUCUAUAAUUAAAUAAAUAUAUUUAUAUAUAUACAUUUAUGUAGUUUUAAAAGUUAGUUGGGAUAAAGAGUAACGAUUUGCAUAUAAGGGUGUAUUUGGUUCUACGUAAAAUUAUGACAAUAAGAAUUCGUUGCAAAAAAAUUUCGAAGAAAAAUAAAUUUUACGCCCUCUACCGUAAAAUUCAAUAUUACAUAUACUAGUAUUAUAAUUUAUAUUUAAAAAUAAAAUAUAUUUAAAAUAUAUUAUACAUUAAUUAAGUAUGUAAUUUAAUAUGUGAUAAUAUAUAUUUAAUACUAUAAAAUAAGUUAAUAUGUAUUUAUAAAUAAUAUUUAUAUAUAAAAUAUUACAUAAUAAUAUAUUUAAAAAAUAAAAUUAUAUAUAUAUAAUGGAAGAGG
rnacentral:lncRNA from 1 species